CAGUCGCCACGGUAAUACGUAGGGUGCGAGCGUUAAUCGGAAUUACUGGGCGUAAAGCGUGCGCAGGCGGUUCGUUAAGACAGAUGUGAAAUCCCCGGGCUUAACCUGGGAACUGCAUUUGUGACUGGCGAGCUAGAGUAUGGCAGAGGGGGGUAGAAUUCCACGUGUAGCAGUGAAAUGCGUAGAGAUGUGGAGGAAUACCGAUGGCGAAGGCAGCCCCCUGGGCCAAUACUGACGCUCAUGCACGAAAGCGUGGGGAGCAAACAGGAUUAGAUACCCCUGUAGUCCCUGUCUCUUAUAU
rnacentral:rRNA from 1 species